rnacentral:rRNA from 1 species
UACGUAGGGACCAAGCGUUGUUCGGAUUUACUGGGCGUAAAGGGCGCGUAGGCGGCGUGACAAGUCACUUGUGAAAUCUCUGAGCUUAACCCGGAGCGGCCAAGUGAUACUGUCGUGCUCGAGUGCGGAAGGGGCCACCGGAAUUCUCGGUGUAGCGGUGAAAUGCGUAGAUAUCGAGAGGAACACCUGCGGCGAAGGCGGGUUGCUGGGCUGAUACUGACGCUGAGGCGCGAAAGCUAGGGGAGCGAACGGG